rnacentral:rRNA from 1 species
UAAACGACUCUCGACAACGGAUAUCUCGGCUCUCGCAUCGAUGAAGAACGUAGCGAAAUGCGAUACUUGGUGUGAAUUGCAGAAUCCCGUGAACCAUCGAGUUUUUGAACGCAAGUUGCGCCCGAAGCCGUUAGGCCAAGGGCACGUCUGCCUGGGCGUCACAU